rnacentral:rRNA from 1 species
UUAUCAAGAAAUCAGGUAGGCGAAGCGGCCUGGAACGGCCCGCGAUACACGGUAACAGCCCGGUAGUCGAAACCUGAUUUCCUCCGGAGUGGAUCCUGAGUACGGCGGGGCACGAGAAAUCCCGUCGGAAUCCGGGAGGACCAUCUCCCAAGGCUAAAUACGACCCAGUGACCGAUAGUGAACCAGUACCGUGAGGGAAAGGUGAAAAGCACCCCGGAAGGGGAGUGAAAGAGAUCCUGAAACCGUGUGCCUACAAGAUGUCGGAGCCCGUUUAUGGGUGACGGCGUGCCUUUUGUAGAAUGAACCGGCGAGUUGCGAUCAUAUGCAAGGUUAAGUGGUAAACAUGGAGCCGAAGCGAAAGCGAGUCUGAACAGGGCGUUUGAGUAUGUGGUCGCAGACCCGAAACCGUGUGAUCUACCCAUGUCCAGGGUGAAGGCAGGGUAACACCUGCUGAAGGCCCGAACCCACGCAAGUUGAAAAUUGCGGGGAUGAGGUGUGGGUAGAGGUGAAAUGCCAAUCGAAC